rnacentral:rRNA from 1 species
UAGGGAAUCUUCCGCAAUGGACGAAAGUCUGACGGAGCAACGCCGCGUGAGUGAAGAAGGAUUUCGGUUCGUAAAACUCUGUUGUUAGGGAAGAAAAAAUGUAUAGUAACUAUAUACAAAAGAGACGGUACCUAACCAGAAAGCCACGGCUAACUACGUGCCAGCAGCCGCGGUAAUACGUAGGUGGCAAGCUUUGUCCGGAAUUAUUGGGCGUAAAGCGCGCGCAGGUGGUUUAGAAAGUCUGAUGUGAAAGCCCACGGCUAAACCGUGGAGGAUCAUUGGAAGCUAAUAAACUUGAGUGCAGGAGAGAAAAGUGGAAUUCCUAGUGUAGCAGUGAAAUGCGUAGAAAUUAGGAGGAACACCGGUGGCGAAAGCGGCUUUUUGGCCUGCAACUGACACUGAGGCGCGAAAGCGUGGGGAGCAAACAGG